GAUGAACGCUAGCGGCAGGCUUAAUACAUGCAAGUCGAGGGGUAGCAAGAUUGUAGCAAUACAAUUGUUGACGACCGGCAAACGGGUGCGGAACACGUACACAACCUUCCUACAAGUGGGGAAUAGCCCAGAGAAAUUUGGAUUAAUACCCCGUAACAUAGCGAUGUGGCAUCACAUUGCUAUUAUAGCUUCGGCGCUUGUUGAUGGGUGUGCGGCUGAUUAGAUAGUUGGCGGGGUAACGGCCCACCAAGUCUACUAUCAGUAGCUGAUGUGAGGGCAUGAUCAGCCACAGGGGCACUGAGACACGGGCCCGAAUCCGACGGGAGGAAGCAGUAAGGAAUAUUGGACAAUGGACGCAAGUCUGAUCCAGCCAUGCCGCGUGAAGGAUUAAGGUCCUCUGGAUUGUAAACUUCUUUUAUAAGGGACGAAAAAAGGUCUUUCUAGAUCGUCUGACGGUACCUUAUGAAUAAGCACCGGCUAACUCCGUGCCAGCCGCCGCCGUAAUAC
rnacentral:rRNA from 1 species